UAUAAUUUUUUUGCGUAAUUAAGAAAUAUGUUACUAAAUUAAUGAAUUAUACUAGAGUAAUGAAUAAUAAUAGUUUUACAAGAUUUAUAAGCAUAUUUGUAAGCACUAAUUGGAAAAAGGCACAAUAAAAUAGAAUUUUUAUGUAAUAAUGUAAUUUGAUUUUAUAUAUAUAUAUUCGACAUAUUAAUAUAAAUAUGUAAUAUUAAAAUUUUAAAGAUAUUAAAAAAGUGAAAUUAUUCUUAAGCAAUGUAAAACUGAGUAAGACAAGAUUCUUAUAUUUUUUGAAAAAGGUUCCUUAAAAACUGUUUUCUUUUUUUUUAAGAUAUUACCUUACAUUUCUUAUUUAAGGAAGAAAGAAAACCCAAUAAAUUUUAAUAAAUAUUAAAAUUAUGCUAAAGUAUUAUUUAAGGCAAAAAGACACAUCGUAAUAUCGUAAUAUGCAAAUGUGUGAUAAUAUAUUUAAUAAUUAUAUAACAAUUAAGAGUCAUUUACAUUCGUAGAAUUGCGAGGGAUAUUGUAAUUAUAAGUCAUUAAAAAUUAGGUCAUUAAUAAUUGAAGCUGUUCAUAUACACACAUCCGCAUACAUAUAUAUGUCGAUUACAACAUAAUCGAUGAAGUAAAUUUCAUAACAAAGUGAUGACAAAGAAGCACAUAUAUGCAAUCAUUUAAUCGCCGAAUUAUUCAGUACAGUUUUGAUCAUGAUCAAUAUCAGUUCGCUUCUUGAAAUGUCAGAGCAAAAAUUCUGUGAUUUAUUUUAACAUAGGUAUAGGAUAAUUAUAUAUAAUAACAAUUUUAAAUUUAUUGUAAUAUAAAUAUAUUAUUAUUCUUAUAACUAUUAUUUUUGAUACAUUGAACAGAAGUAAAGUUUGUGUUCAAAAUCAAGGAACAUGACAUCAAGCAGUGUAUAACAGUGAAUAUGAUCGAUAUGUAUAAAAAAAUUAAUUUAAUUGUUUUGGUGCUGUUCAUAAUUGUUCAAUCAGAAGAAAUUUCUUUAGAUCCUACUGUAAAUACAAAGUUCUUGGAUUCAAGUCUGUCAACAGCUUUCCCCUAUCUAUCGCCAUGUAAUGAUCAGCAUCUCACAACGGAUCAUCGAAAGAAAUCACUGCUUUCAUUGAUGCCGCACAUACAGCAUGAAUACGAAAAUAAAACGAUUCAUAAAACGAAGCGUUGCAGUACAUUAUCUCAGAGAAACAGAUUAUUAUCGUUAAAGGAAAGUUUUGCCAGAACAAGACCUGAAAGCUCUGAAAAUAUCAACGUAGGAGUUUCGAAGAAUAAUCUUAAUACUUAUGAUCUCGCAAGAAAUAUGGAAGAUGAUAUGCAGGAUAACUCUGCAAUAUUAUACAAAAGAGACGUUAAACCGCGUAAGAAAGAUAAAAUAUUCCUACUCAAAGACGACGAUGUGGACGGAAAGGAUGUAAUCUUGAAUUUACAACCUCGAGAGAAUAUAAAAAAGUGUAACAAGGGAAAAUGCAUCUGUUAUUGUAAAGACGAGAAUUAUUCUCCUAUGUCAUCGGAGAGAAGCUCUUCGCUAUUAGGUUCCUCCAAAAAAGAUAAACCGGAAAGAAUAAAUCACAGGAUACCAGAGCAUGAAAACAGACCAAACGUCUUGCAGAGAUUACAGCGCUUAUUUCCAAUAAGAUCUUAUCAGGAAAGAUUAGGCAACAUCCCCGCUAUACUAAUUCCGUACGAAAUAGUACCAAACUUUCCACCUUACAUCGUCGGAAAUGUACGAAAAAGUAUCAAUGUUGGAAAUCCAUCCACCUUACUCGAAAACAGACCAAAUUGUCUAGUUGGAAGUAACGUACAUUCUCAAAAUCGACCAUUCACCCAUCAGAACCCCUAUCUGAACCUGCCUGUAACUGAAAGAAGUGGAGAAGCUGAAAGACUCGACGCGUCAACUUCGUUUUCGACAAGUUACAUUGAUGCGACAACUGUGACGGAAACAGGAAGUAUUCUCGAGUCAUACGAUCCAAUUGGAAUGAUUAAAAAAGCUCAAGAAUCUCCCAAUUUAAUUACAGAAAUUCCGAAUAAUUAUAUAGGUGAGUCACUUGAUCCGAAAACGGAAAAUAACUUUUAUCCAACUUAUUCGACUGCAACUAUGAUUGAAGAAAGUAACACUGCAGAUUCCUGGAAUUUGGACGAAACGUUGCAUAAAUCAGGAGAGUCUACAGAGACAACCGAAGCAAAUAAACAAAAUGAUUUUGCUAAGAUGACAUCAAUUGUAACGGAUUAUGUUAGUGCAAGCAAUGCGCCAUCCCCUAUCUAUUCACCAAUAACGCACGAUGGAAAACUUAUAAGCAUGGAAGAGUGCAUGAAAUUAUUUGGUCGCGAUGUGUGCGUACUCAGUGCGACGUCAUCGCAAACGUCUGCUGACCCAACACGGAAGAACAAUUUAAACGGGUAUACUACAAUUGCAAUUCCGGAAUAUGUUAUACAAACAUCCACUAAAAAGACAACAGAUUACGACAAUUAUUUUAAUAAACAUUUUGCAUCAAUGUUACCUACAAGUGAGAAAUUAAACGUUAAUUCAAACGAAAAUUCUGAGUCGACAACUACAGAAUUAAACACUGUUGAUGAAAUUUCUCUACUUGAUCUUUCUCAAUAUACAGGUUCCGUCGUAGAAAAUUAUAAACCCCAUGCCGAUUCUGAUAAGGAUGAAUUAUCUAGUACUGCUAAGGAUACAUCUAUCCCGAAGAAGAAAUUGAGGACUCAAACAACUGAUAAAACUAUAAAGAAUAAAUUGUUAGGAAAAAGUAAAAGCCAUAAAGCUAAAUUGCCAUUAAGCCCAAAUAGCAAGGAAAUGAAAAAUCCAGUUUCAAGUGAAGAAUUUCUUCAUUCCGCCACCUCACACGAAUAUAAUGACAGCAAUUUGGAAAUUAAUCAAGAAAAUCAGCCAACAAAAGUCAAUACAUGGAAGAAUAUUCCUCAAGAAGAGACUACAGUUUCUAAUUAUGUAGAUUCUAGAACCAAACAUGAUUUCGAAGACGGAAGUAUAAAUUACUUGAAAGAACCAGUUACUAAUGAUCAAGAAGAAGUUCUUCAAGAACGACCUAAAGAAAAGAUCACAACUAUUAAUCAAGAUUUCGAUACCGGAUACAAUUUCGAAACAAAAACUAUAAAUUACGUAAAACCAGACUUCGAUGUUUAUUCUGAUGAAGAAGAUCGAUCUACAACAAUGCGAUACAUCGAUUAUGAAGAAUCAAAUGAAUCAAGUAACAAAGACGACAGUUUUAAUAUAAAUACGGGUUCGUCAAUAAGAAGAUUGCCAUUCUGCGAUAAUACUUUACUUCUAAACUCCAUCAGAAAGGUCAUUAAUGACUUUACACUGGAUCCUCGCGUGGGUAGAACGAUAGAUCUCAACGAAAAUAUUCUUCAGUUGCACGACAGAAGUUUAUUGCCGGAAAUUCUGGCAGUUCCGCAUUUGAAAAAUAUCUUAUUACUACCGCAAAUAGAAGACAUGAUCGUGGAGAAGGUGAAAGACGUUUUAUCUCACGUCACAUCUAUCUCCAGAAAAGACUUCACGAAUGAUUGGUCACACGGUAUAAUCAGAAACACUUUGCGCAAUAUAUUGGAAACUUUUCCUGGUUUCCAUCAGAAGCUUCCACCGAUGACGAUUGAGGAGCAUCAGUUUAAGAAUGGACAAUGGACAACCAAUGUGGUAACUUUGGCGCCUCUCGUAGACAAUCAAUUAUCAAAAUCAAACCCGAACAAGUUGCAUGAAAGUAUUAGAAAUCUUUUGAGUUCCUCGGCAAUCGCGUCGCAAAGAGAUCAGCCUAUUGUGCGAAACAUAAUCGUACAGAGCGUAAAAAAUAACUUAAUCAAUGACGAAGAAAACGAGAAAAUGGAUGAUUCAGUAAUUUAUAAUGCGUUAAAUAAUAUUCUGGAGGUAUUAAAAGAACCAAAUAAUAUAGAUACAUUAGAAAAAAGCAAUACAUUUGUUAGUAAUGAUAGAAAUAUAGAAAUGACUUUUUUGCAAGAAAUGCCAAUUGAUCGUAAAAUGAAAAACGACAAAUCGAUAUUGGCCCAAAACCUUGGCAUAGAAGAAGAAGCAAGAAUAAACGAUAACAGAAUGCAAAUAGUGACGACUCAGAAAGCCAAAGUACUAGAAAACAAUGCUAUCGUAGCUUCUGAAUUUCCAAAUUUAUCAGAAUCAUACGACAAAGAUAAAAAUAUAUAUAUAGAGAAGGAAAUACCAAAUAAAGUCAUUGACAUAAUAAAAGUAAAUACCAGAGAUCAAAUUUUGGAUGGAAUCAGAAAGACAAAUGUACAAAGUGAAGAGAGUAAGCUUGUUGAACCGUUAGAACCCACAACAAUUUAUCAAAAAGCUAUUUUACAAAAUAAUCCUAACAUAUUGAAAGCUUCUACAGAACUAAAUUCAGAAAACGAAUUAAAUUCGGAAGGAAAUGAUAAUAAUAUAUUUUCAGAAGCAACUACGAUUUCGUCGAUUGCAGCCAAACAUGUUUAUGAAAAUUCGAGAGAAAAAAAAAUAUCUGAAAUUAAUCCAACAGUAAUACACACAAGAAAUGACAUUAACAAAUCGCCAACAAAUGAUUUCUUGUCGAACGAUUUGAUUUUGGAGAAUACAGAAAAUCAUCGCAUUGAUGAUGGAAUUAUGGCACCUACAUACUUUAUGCAAGAAACUUCACCAAAUUACAUAGAAGUAUCAGAUAACAUCAUUUUCCCAAGUAUAGCACAAACUAAAACUGUCGACGAAAUAGAAUACCCAUUAAAUGGAAAAAUAGUAACUGCUACGCCUGAUAAUUUAAUUUCUUCCGCAAAUGUGAAAUAUGAAAAUCCGGAAUCUAAAAUCGUUUCUAGCCUCUCGGCUGAGGAAAUUGAUCCAGCAAUAAUAUUAGCAAGACUUGAGUAUAAUUUGCCGCCAAUAAAAUAUUACUCGCCAGAAACCUUAAAAUACGUGCAAAAUCAUUAUAUCGAGGAUAAAAAUGCAAUUACAUCUGCAAACUUUAUGCAAGAAAUCUCACCCAAUCAUGUCCAGAUAUCGGAUAGUAUAAUUGCACAAAAUAUGGCAGGAUCUACAAAUACAGAAGACAGAAUAGAAGACACAUCAAACGGGAAAAUUAUAACUACAUCAGCUGACAAUUUAAUUUCAUCUAAAAAUAAUAUUCUGGAAUAUGGAAACGAUGAAUCUCAAACCUCUCCUUUGACAGAUAAAGAUAUUUUAAAAUUACAACGACAUAAUUUUAUGACAGAAGACAACAUCGUUAAAAUUCAUGAAGUCACUACGGAGAUACAACGAACCUAUGCGAAAACUACAUACUUCAAGCCAAAAUUUUCUGAAAAUAGUUCCAGCAUCAAUUUAUUAUCAUCACCUGUUGAAAUUACGGAUGACGCAAGUAAUAGCAACAGCAAAAAUAAUAUGAAUGGUAAUAGGAACAAUAAUAAUUACAAUCUAAUUGGCAAUAUAAAUAAUAUUAAUCCUAUCUCCGCAGAAGCAAAUGAAGGAAUUAUCUCCUCUUCCAAAUCUUUAGACGAUAUUUAUUCUCUUCAGCUAUUUCCCUCAUCGACUGCUUCCGAUGCCAUUUCGGCACUUCAAAACUCGCAAAUCUAUUACAUCAACGACGAUGUGAAAUUGCCAGUGGAGAUAAUAGCAUUGAAGAAUGGUUCUUACGCGUUAUCAAUCUCUCCAAACAUAUGUGAAAUAAUACUGAGGAGAAAAUGUCCUUGUUGCGUACCAUUGCAAGGACGCAUAGUUCGAUCAUCAGGAAAAAAUUAUCAAAAAUAUGUGAUUGCAGGUAAAAAAGAUGAUUGGUCAACUGAUCAAUCGUCUAGCGUAGCGAUAAAUUCAAUGACUGCAAAAAACACCUUGAAAAUGCAAGAGCAAGAAGAAAAAAUAAAUAAACAAGAAGAGGAAAUAAAUGCACAUAAUCUUUGGAAGCGAAAUUUGAUGAAUAAUAAUCUAACAAUUUCAAUGCCAGUUAUCGAUUUCGCUAAAAAAUAUAAUCUAUUACUUGAUUUCAACGAAGAAGAUGUCCUGUUUAACGGAAUAGAAUCACAAAAAAGAAAUAUAGAAAUGAGUCAAUCCGAAAGACUUGCAGAGUUAAAACUGAAUAAAUCCGAAACUAAAAAUAAUAUGCAAGAUACAAAUAUUGAAAUAGCAGAAGACAACAAUUAUUCUAAUGUUGAUGAAAAACUGAUGAAAUAUGAGAAAGAGACAGAGUCUAUUUUACAAAACGUUAACAUUCUCAACAAAAAAGAGAAAAGAGAACAUAAAGGAUCGGAAUUGAUUGAUGAUGAACAGAAUGCUUCAAGAAUUAGAAUUUUGAAGGAAAAUAACGCAAGGCCUUAUAGAUAUGAACAAAAUACAAACAUUGCAAAUAUUAAAGGGACAAAAGUCAUAAGAUCUAUGCUUUAUUGGCUUAAAAGCCUUUUUGAAAGAAAAUGAAUAGCAAGAAAUGAAUUAAAUAUAGUUUUAGUCUUUCUUAAAAGUAUAAAUAUAUUCUUCUUAAGUUUUUCAAAUUUAUACAAAAUAAGUUUUAAACAAUAUUUUUUAAUUGUAUUAAAACUUUUAAAUCUUCUUUACAUAUCUAUAACUAAACUUUUAAAAUUUUUUGGAUAAAUCUAAAAUCUUUGAGCUUUUUGAACAUUGAGUUUUUCUUAUUCUUUAUAAAAUAUAUUGAGGGAAAAGAUCUAUAAUAUAUUUGUAAUAUAUUAUUAUUACUUGAUAUUGCUUGAUAUUAAUACGUGAUAUUAUUUGAUAUAAUUCAUCAGUUUAAUGAAAAAUGUUAAUUUUUUGUUAAUUAUGUUUCGGACAAUUUUUCUAGAGCAUGUUGUACAUAAAAUUAAAAUUGUCAUAUAAGGUUAAUAAGGUUUUACAUAUUACACUUCAAUAUUGACAAUAAUAAUCAAAAAUAUACGCGUAACCUUGAGGAAUCCGAAUCGAUGAGAAGUAGUGAGAGGUUAUGUUGAUCAGAGACCGAAUGCCUUGACAUUUCUGUU